rnacentral:rRNA from 1 species
UACGUAGGAUGCAAGCGUUGUCCGGAUUUACUGGGCGUAAAGCGCGCGCAGGCGGCACUCUAAGUACGUCGUGAAAUAUCCCGGCUCAACCGGGAGGGUGCGAUGUAGACUAGGGAGCUAGAGGUCGGUAGAGGGGGGUGGAAUUGCUGGUGUAGCGGUGAAAUGCGUAGAUAUCAGGAGGAACACCGGUGGUGUAAACGGCUUUCUGGACCAUAACUGACGCUGAUGCACGAAAGCGUGGGUAGCAAACAGG